rnacentral:rRNA from 1 species
UACGUAGGGUGCAAGCGUUGUCCGGAAUUAUUGGGCGUAAAGAGCUCGUAGGCGGUUUGUCGCGUCUGCUGUGAAAACUCGGGGCUUAACCCCGGGCCUGCAGUGGGUACGGGCAGACUAGAGUGCGGUAGGGGAGACUGGAAUUCCUGGUGUAGCGGUGAAAUGCGCAGAUAUCAAGAGGAACACCUAUUGCGAAGGCAGCUCGCUAGGACGUAACUGACGCUGAGACGCGAAAGCGUGGGGAGCAAACAGG